UGCCAAGAUGCGAUGGCAGGGCCGUGCACACGCAGCUCUGCAUGCCCAGCACUGCACAAACGCAGCCUGCGGUCUCAAGAAAGCUCACAGCUGCCACUAUCCUAUCCGCCACAACAGCCCAGUUCACACACUCUGCAUUUUACGAAUCUUUUGCAGCAGCCGGAAAGUCUACACUUGUCAGGCUGCUGGAGAAACACAGCGAUGAGUGGGAGGUGAUCCCCGAGCCCAUCGCCAAGUGGUGCAACAUCCAGACCAGCGAGGAUGAGUGCGAGGAACUUUCAACUUCUCAGAAAAGUGGAGGAAACCUACUUCAAAUGCUGUACGAUAAACCUACAAGAUGGGCUUAUACUUUUCAGACUUAUGCCUGCUUGAGCCGAGUAAGGGCACAACUGAAACCCAUUUCAGCCAAGCUGCAUGAAGCAGAACAUCCAGUGCAAUUUUUUGAGAGAUCUGUGUACAGUGACAGGUAUGUGUUUGCUUCUAACCUGUUUGAAUCUGGAAACAUCAAUGAAACAGAGUGGGCUAUCUAUCAGGACUGGCACACAUGGCUUUUAAAUCAGUUUCAAUCUGAAAUAGAACUGGAUGGGAUGAUCUACCUAAGGACCACACCUCAGAAAUGCAUGGAAAGGCUACAGAAGAGGGGAAGAAAAGAGGAGGAAGGAAUUGACCUCGAGUACUUGGAAAACCUCCACUAUAAACAUGAGACGUGGCUGUAUGAAAGAAGUAUGAGGUAGGAGCCUGUUUCCCCUGGACCACUACUGUGGGCAAAAUUGCUUAAAUAACCUGUUGCCAUGAGGAACCAGACAACUACCAGCUAAUUCUCAUUUCAACUUAUAAGCAAGUUUUUACUAUCAAUCAGAAAGUAGAAAAAAGCCUGAGAUCCAUCUCUAGUUUCACUCGGGCAUGGUUGGAAUGACUUAAGCAUUAGCUUCAACUGAAAAGCUAUUCUAGUUGUGAUUUUUCUCCAGCAAUUCCUUAAGCUUAGAACUGGAAGUACAUAGAAAUAGGGCGGUUGAAAUUGGACUCAGUGGCUAAUUCCUUACUAAGCAACUUCCAAUGUAAGCGAAGGUAAAGUCCUGAUUACCUUUAAACUUGGGUGACUGUGUCUCAGCAAGGUUUAAAUACUAACCCUAGCUUCAAAACAAGCAAUUAUCAGAAAGGCUUCUGGCAGUCCCUUGUAUGAAGGAAACAUGCCAGUGACUAAGCUAUCUCUGCACGUCUUUUUUCCCCCCCCAGACUCUUACUGAGUCAUACUUAUCAGCUUUCCCCACAUAGGAAUUAGCUGGACAUAAAUGCUAACUUCAGGUUUUCCCUAUAAGAACCUGAAGUAGUGUACUGAAUGCAAAACAAGAGGUUAAACAUUUAUUACUGACUGCAGCAGUAAUAAAUGACAUCAGCAUAUUAAGUCCAUUGCAACAACAGGAGGAAAAAAAAAAAAAUCAUAGAAGAGUUCAGGAUAUUCCUGGUAGGCAAGCGUGACUUUUCAGCUGAAAUAAACAAAACUACUUCCAGAUGGUGUACUAACAGAUGCAAAACAAUUCCAAGAAAAGUACGUUAAGCUGAACAGGCACAUCUGCUUUUACUAAGUCUAGAAUUCAUGUAGGAUGACCCAAGAGUUCAGGAGACAAGAAUGUAUUGCAGUGUUGUGGAAUUAUAACAUUUACAUUGUGUACUCAUUCCAAACCCAUGAGCAAACAUUUCCUGUAUUUUUAAUACAAGUUAGAAUGCUGUUCAGCCCCCUUUAAACACAGGUCUUAGAACCUGUUAGAGGUCAUUCCCAAAAGGAAGCUUUAAAACUUCAUCUUGGUAAAUGGAUUAGCAGCUAACUACAAAGGUGGUGGGGGCCACACAGGGCAAGAGGUACUUCAGAGGAAAACAUUCACUCCCUCUUAUAAAAAUUGGAUUCCUGAUAGUUGGCUCCACAGCAAAAAGAAUGAGAGUUGAUUUUGAGAACCUUAAGGAG